rnacentral:rRNA from 1 species
UACGAAGGGGGCUAGCGUUGUUCGGAAUUACUGGGCGUAAAGCGCGCGCAGGCGGUCUUCCAAGUCAGUGGUGAAAGCCUGGAGCUCAACUCCAGAACUGCCAUUGAAACUGUUAGACUUGAGUACGAGAGAGGUGAGUGGAAUUCCCAGUGUAGAGGUGAAAUUCGUAGAUAUUGGGAAGAACACCAGUGGCGAAGGCGGCUCACUGGCUCGUAACUGACGCUCAGGCGCGACAGCGUGGGGAUCAAACAGGAUUAGAAACCCUUUAGUCC